rnacentral:lncRNA from 1 species
UAUAAUAAAUUUACCUCUUGCGCCACAGGUCUCAUUUGAAACAAAGAGUUAUUCGACAAUAAAUGCUUGACAAAUUGGCAAUAAUUAGAUCCUUUUAAUAAUACAAAUUGAAAGAAACAUAGCUUCAAACUAUGUAAUAGAGUUUUCAAAAUGCGGGCAUUCUCCCUAUAUAAUUUUGCUAUGUAAGUUGGAACUUAGGAAUCCAUGUCCCGGUUUAUCCUUGAUACAUUGUUGGUAACUCAUCUCCCAGUCUAGAUCCAUAACAUUUUGCCCUUCACAGCCCCUUUAUAGUCUUGACGUACUGGUUUUCAAUGUCACGCUGGGAACACCAUUCCUGAUCAAAUAAUAGCAUGCUAUAGAUAUCGAGCAAUAAUAUAGUGUGAAUAACUUAACAUGGAAAUAUGAUAGUAAGACUAAUGGAACACAAAGUAUACCUCCUGCAAUUUCUUCCAUCUUCCUUUCCAUUCUACAGGAAAAGGUUGCAACAUGAGGAAUAGCCUACAGAAAUAGAUAGUAUCGAAUACUGCACAAGUCAAUAAAAAUGUUACUGCUAGCCAUAGUGCAUACAUUCUAUCUCUUAUUGUACUUUUUGCAUCCUACUACGACUCAGAGCACAUACAUGACAUAUCCUGGUAAUGCCAAAUUGUUGUUUGCAACUUUACUGGUAAAUCAAUUCAGUUUACAUGCAACUAAUAAAAAUUUCCAGGGAAAUGUUGUAGUGAUAUCAUGGUGGUGCAAGCAUAGAAGUUGUUACAGAGUGGAAAGAACAGUCUAGAUUUUCAGUACUGAAGUUUUCCGGCCUAGUAUUGCAGAAAGCUAAAGUUUAUUAAGAGCAUUAUCUCCCAACACACAUAAGGAACCCAAAAGCUGCAAACAGUGAUAUGCCUAAAAAAUUACAGCAUAUUAUUAGCUGAAAGAUCUAGAUGUUGUGUGAUAUGUGACAGAAUACUCAUUGUAUGAUGUACAUGAGGAGGUUUGUGAGCAAAUUGACACACUGUUAAAUGAGUCAUAGGACAGUACUAGAUAGAGCAUUCACUCCUUCAAAAUGUAUUCAAUAAACUGAAAGAGAAAUGCAUCAUGUUACAGGUGUAGCCAAGUACAGUUGAAAGCGAACUUGAUAUAGCUUUGUAAAGUUGAAAGUAUAAAACUUCAUACAAGGUAAAGCAAGUCAAAUCAGAGGGGAAAGGAGGGCAGCAACAUGCACCUGGAGCAAGAGGGGGCACAAUCUCGUGUUGUGGCUUUCUGAAAUAGAGAACACUUUUAUAUCAACUAAAACAGGUUCAGGAGAUGAACAAUCAGAUAGAGUAGCUCAAAUGCAUUAAUAACUUCCCUUCGGCCUUGCAGACAACACUGCAAGAAGAGGCUUCGUAACUCAACCACAUCAUCUAUACAAAGGGCAAAAAGAAAAGGAAAGUGAAUUGUGUGUACGCAUACACUGGAAGACACUGCAGACCAGUUCCUAAUGCUUCUCUGGGUCUUAUAGCCAUCAGUUAUUACGUGAGCAGGAGAACAGAGAAAAACAAAGUGCAGAUCUUAGUCUCUAAGGCAUUUCAUCAAUCAUGUAAAGAUCUAAAGAUGAAGCGGUUCUGGAUUUGGGUUGGGAAAUUGGCUGAGCAAUUAUGACCAGGCUGCACCAAUAAGUCCUUGCCAACAUGUAAAUUAUCCAGUCAAUAGAAAUGGUAUACCUUCGUAAAUAACCUGUCCUAUUUAAACAACUAAAUUUGUAAUCUGUUAUUAAUCCAGGACAAAGUGAGGCAAGGUCUUCAGAAACAUCAAGCCGACAGUCUCAAAUUGGAGGCUUGAAGUAAAAAAGGAUCUUCAACUACUCUACUUCAACACAAGAUCAAAGACGAGCAUUCCACCUUGUUCAAGCAGGCUGUCAGAUCAAUUUUAAAAUGAUUGUCAUGUUGCCCAAAACUAAAAUUGGAUAACAGCUCUGCCCCAUUAGCUUAGAUCUUUUUUCUUUUGUUUCUAUGUUCUCCUUUCCCUUUGUAACAUACUGUUUUUUAAUGAAAAUAUACCAUAGAAAUAUUGUUCUACGGUUUGCUAUUCAAAAAAAGUGAAAUUACCUAAAGGGCUAUGUCCAUCUUCUUCAGUCCUAUUCACACUGAGCGGAAAUAACAGAAAACUCACAAACAUGACAAAAAAAUAGAUCUUCUUCAGUCCUAUUCAUAUGGUUCAUAUGUACCAAUGCAUGGUUUUUGUAUAUAAAUAGAAAAUUUGAAGGCACAUGUUCCAGUUUUCUUUAUUUACUGGAACACCAUAGAGAUCACAUGCCUAUAGUUUGUCGUGCAAGAUUCUGCAAAUUAAUAGCUAGAGCGGCAUUUCACUACAACAAUCAGUGGAUAAUGUAUUUGACUAAAGUAGUACUAUUAUAGUGUCUCUAUUGUAUCUCAAGAAUUAACUGGAUGUUUGUACAACAAAUACUAUUCAUGAGCAAUUGUCACAUGCAAUCCAGUCCUUCAUCCAGCGCAACAAGAUGGAUCCAUAUCCAUAAUUGGCGUUCUAAUGAAGUGCGGUUUCUUUCAAAAAACUAGUCCAAGAAUUGGACAAAUAUGCUUCUGUGUACAACAGAAAGAGUGAGCGCGGGGGGCAUCGAGUUACCACGGCCUCCAAAAUAGGUAUAAUAACCGAAACAAGCGGACAAAUGCUGCUCACACCCAUACACGAAAUAUAAGCAGGACGAGGACAAACAACACACAGCGCCCGAACAUAUCCGGAAUAUUUAAACGAUCAGCACGACAUACAGAUAUUUAAAAGAUCACCAACGCAGACAACAUGACACAGAAGAUACUGAAAGUAAAAUACGCACACAUGUAGUAGAAAGGAAAGAAGAAAAC